rnacentral:misc_RNA from 1 species
UGGUUCUGGCAUCGAUGAAGAACGCAGCGAAAUGCGAUAAGUAAUGUGAAUUGCAGAAUUCAGUGAAUCAUCGAAUCUUUGAACGCACAUUGCGCCCUCUGGUAUUCCGGGGGGCAUGCCUGUUCGAGCGUCAUUACAACCCUCAAGCUCUGCUUGGUAUUGGGUGUCACUGCCUAGGUGCACCUUAAACUCAGUGGCGGUGCCGUCUGGCUUCAAGCGUAGUAAAAUUUCUCGCUCUGGAGUUCUGGCGUGCUCCUGCCAUCAACCCCAAUUUUCAAGGUUGACCUCGGAUCAGGUAGGGAUACCCGCUGA